rnacentral:sRNA from 1 species
CAAUUACAAUUGCUGCAAUAAAUGGAUGGUAUCGUUUUUCGAAAAGGUAAUAUCUAAUACCUGUAUAACGUUGCUUUAGUUUUGGAACAGCAACUCGAACUUUCUUAUUAUUGAGUGUUCUUACAACUAGAAAAAUGGUGAUUAUAGUUAAUAUAACGACUAAUCCCCAAAACGGAAUGCCAGUUGUUUGAGACAUAUCACUAUUUACAUUCGUUGGUUGAUUAAUUUUAUCCAUUACUGGCUUUAAAAUCC